CUCCAAAGCCAGCACUACGCACCAGGCUUCCAUUGCGUCAUCCCAGUCCAGUACGUCCUGUUUCCAUUCCUUGCUCUAGCCUUGGGGUGCAUGUCUCCAGUCUGGUACCUCCAGUACCAGCCCCACACACUAGGCUUCCAGUGCGUCAGCCCAGUCCAACUCGUCCUGUUCCUGCUCCUCGCACUAGCCCUGAGGUGUAUGUUUCCAGUCUGGCACAUCCAGUACCAGCACCACGCAUCAGGCUUCCAGUGCGUCAGCCCAGUCCCGAACUUCCGACGACAGUGCCCAGUCCAGAUGCCCAGUCCAGAGUGUCCGACGACAGUGCCCAGUCCAGAGUGUCCAGCAACAGUGCUCCGUCCAGAGUACCCGGCAACAGUACCCCGUCCAGAGUAUCCGGCAACAGUGUGCAGUCCGGAACCGAGUGAGACGGCCUACAGUCCGGAACCGGCGCAGCCAAAGUCGCCCUUCAGCCCAAGGUCUCCAGCGACGUGCAUCAGCCCGAGGUCUCCAGCAACGCGCAUCAGCCUGAGGCCUUCAGCGAUGCGCCAUAGCCCAGAUACUUCGGGAAGGGUAAUAAUGAAUUAUUUAGCGGGGGUGGACAGGUUAGGUGGGGGAGUAAGGCCGGAGCUUGAGCCACCUCCAUUGUAGGUGGGUUGGGAGGGGGGGUGUAGCACAGGAACCGUCGGUGACGGUGGCCACCCUCCCUUCCCUCUCUUUAGUUUGGGAUUCUUUUUUUGUUUUGGGGUUAUUUUUUGUGUUUUUUGUGCGAGGUGCCUUCGGGGUCUGCAUCCUUUGGGGGGGGGUACUGUCACGUCCUGACCAGUAAAGGGGUUAUUUGUUAUUGUAGUUUGGUCAGGACGUGGCAGGGGGUGUUUGUUUUAUGUGGUUCGGGUUUUUGUUAGUCUAUGUAUUAUGUAAGAGGGGUGUUUGAUUUAUGUGUUCCGGGGUUUUGGGUAAUGUUCUAUGUUUUGUAUUUCUAUGGGUUUUCUGUGUUGUGUAUUUCUUUGUUGGCCUGGUAUGGC
rnacentral:lncRNA from 1 species